rnacentral:tRNA from 5 species
GCGCCCGUAGUUCAAUGGAUAGAAUAAUGGAUUCCGGUUCCAUCGAUUGGGGUUCGACUCCCCACGGGCGUACCA